AAAACCCACCGCACAUCACUCCUCUCUCCUCCUGCGCAGCGAACCCUAGCGCUCUCACCCUCUCAGCCCCGCACACCACUCCUCCUUCUGGAUCCACCGCCGCCGCCCUCUGGAUCUCGACGCGCCACCACUCCCUCCCUCCAGAUCGAGAGAGAGCUCGUCGUCGUCCUCCUGCUCUCGCCCCUGCCCUUCCCUCCCCCUUAACCCCGAGGCGGCAACGCAGACGGCCAUCGACCUCGCCCACCUAACCCUAGCGAGAGGAGAGCGUCCAUGGAUCCGUCGAAGCUGGGCGAGCUGCGCUCCUUCGUGGAGGAGUGCAAGAAGGACCCAGCGCUCCUCGCCGACCCCGCCCUAGCCCAAUCCAUCUCGCGCUCCUCCCAUCCCAUCCCAUCCCAUCCCAUCCCACCCACAGCCGCCGCCCCAACCUCUCUCUCCGAUGACUUCGAUCCGCCGCCACCGCCCCAACCUAUCUUUCCGACCUCGAUCCGCCGCCGCUCCAAUCCCCAUCCCCAUCCCCAAUCCCACCCCCACCGUCGACGACCCUCACCUAAACCUAGGCCGGCUCCAGAUCGAUCAGGCGCUAACAGACAGGCGACGCCGAUCUGGAACCUCGAUCUAGAGGGAUUCCGCCCCCUCUCACCGGCGGGGUUGGGGCAGGCGUGGCUCCCGCGACCAGCCCGCUGGCGUUGUGGACGCUGCUUCCUCUCCAUCCCGCUGUCCGCUGCUGCCGCUCCCACGCCAUGGAGCUCGCCACCACCGGCACCGACCACCUACUUCUCCCUGUCCAUGUCCAUGGAGGCAUGAUCUGAUCUGCUCUCUGCUCUUCAAAGUGCCCAUCUUCCCCUCUCCUCUUGGAUUGAUUUGAUUUGAUUCGAUCCAACCCCUUCCACCCCUGAUGUCGAUUGCUGAUGCGUGCUUGAUUCCCUUCCCCUUGCAGCUGCAGCUCAUCCACGAAGGUCUCUCCCUCCUCUCUUGUGCAAGAUGCUCCCAUUGGUUUUGUUUAGGUUGUGCUCCAUUGCCUGCUGUUUAUGGAUUGUUAGGUUUAGGUGGUGCUCCAUCUCGUGUGUUCUCAAUGACCAGAGCACUUUAGCUGAUGUAUUUUGUACACCAGGUUUAGGCGCCAGCGAUUGUUAGCUUCCGCACUUUAGCUGAUUGUUAGAUCCAGCGACGCCGAAGGGAACCGAGGUGAGGCGCUCGCUAGAGUGUUUAGAACAAGGUCCUCUCGGUGUAGUUUAAUGCCGCACAGCAAAUCUGCCUGUGCAUGGCAUUUACUUAGCAUUUUUUUUCUUUGCUGGAAUAAGGGAGUAGAGGCAGGGGGAGUAAAUUUUCUUGCUCUAAAUCUGUGAAGUCAUUAAAUGCUGUCGAAUUAGUGCUGUUCCCAGUGAUGCCCAUGCCGGCCUGGAAGGUUUGUUACUUGUCGAUACAGACGCUCCACAGUCGAGUUCCUCGUGGAACAGCUGGCCAGUGUAGCAGAGAGCUAGACAGCUAGUGGUGUAAGUAUCUUCACGCAGCCAUGGAUGCGUGGGAUUCGUGGAGCUAGACAGCGAGCUGUACUCAUGCUGGUCGGUUCUUCUAAUUCAACUGCAAACAAAUGUUUCCAUAUUGUGUAGCUCAAGAAAAUGGUGUGUUGUCGUCUGCUUAUCAUUCUUUGUGUUGCUGGAUCCUCAGAGGUUCCUUGUGCAAUCGACAGUCCUGCAUUGAGAUGUUCUCGGAAUUUUGUAACAACAGACUAUUGAUAUAUAUAUUUUUGAGAUCCAUACAUGUACUGUGAUCUACAUGUUUGCUGAACUGAUAUUUUUUAUAAAAUAAUUAUGAAGAAUAAAGCCUCUGCAAAAAUAAGAAGUCUGUUCAUGUUUAUAUGGAUUUAAAUAAUCUUUUUUGACCCCUCAUUCUUUUCAUUUUUGUACUACAUGGAAAUCGCAGUAUAUUUUUUUUGAAAACUUUUUUAUGCUAAAUAACGCCUCUAUUUGCAUGCAUGAUUUUUCCUAUGAUUUUUUUGUAUUAGUAGCGUAUUUACCUUUAGGGGAAUAUUACUAGCAUAUUUGAAAAAACAAAUUGCUCCCCAGGGUGCCCGAGAAUCAAAAAGGAUGUUUUUUACUUUCUUUUAUAAAUUCAUUUUACAAAUAUUAUGGCCUAGUUUUUCCUUUAUUUUCCCAAUGCUUUUGUUGCGUAGACUUCUACUCAUCCGACAAAGUAAUCACUGUAUGCAUGCACGUGUAUGGACUUUACUUGAAAAAAGAAUAAAAAAAAAUUCAACAAUUUGGUUGUAUAUUGUAUAAAAAAAGGCUGCAACCCCUCACACCACACAACAUUUCACAAUGAUCCUUAAAUCUACACGUGCAUGGCACGUGCCAUGUACUAGUAAAGAUAUCUGCUUAAAAAUUUGCUGUCAUCCAUUUGCGAGUUGAGAACGGGUCUCUUAAGAGAGAGUCAGGGUUGCUACUGAUUUGGUUUCUUUCCCAUCCGCUGGUCCCCGGCUUCGCGCCGUGCCGAUGGCGGAAGAAGCAGCUGCCAAUGUGAAGGAGGAGGAGUUCAGCACCGCGCCCUGUCCCUGCUCCUGAUGAGCGUCAGGAACAAUACUCAGUUGUGUGAUACAGUGCCUGAAAAUCCAAUCGGCUUAGUUGCUUGUGAUGAAUCCUACUGUGGAAGUCAACAUUGGUUUCGUCAAUUGUGUUUGCUAAAUGCCCUGACAAGAAGAACGAGAACAAGGAGGUGGCCGUCAAUGACUUCCCGCCUUCAGAAGAUGCCUACGAGGCCAUCCAACACUCCAUUGUUACCGGUAGGGAUCAGGGGUGAGGGAAGGCAUGGAGGAUGCGUUCGACAUGUACCGGCAGUCAGUAAUCGGCGUGGCCCUCAUCGAGACGCUACACAAGAUGGUGGCCAGCGGCAUGCACAGCCCCGAGCUCGCCAUGGCCGUCGUCGUGCAGUUCGACAAGGUCGCCCCUUCCCUUCCCUUCCACAUGCUACCACUGCACUGCUUCCUCUCCCAAACUCAUCGAUCAACAACGAGCAUCUAUCUAGGCUGCGUGCGUGCGCAUGGCGGCGGGUCUGCUGUGGUGCGUGCGGUGGCGGCGCGGCUGGGCUCGAGGAGCUGCGACGCGGCAGGGAGGGAGCUGCUUCCUCUUGUCCUGCUUCGUGUCCCUGAGGUGGCUACCUGCGCAGGGGCGGCCGACGAGGGUGCUGCGGCGGGAAGAAGAGGAUGAGGAAGAAGGCGGCGGCGGAUUUGGACUGCGUACGAGUCAGGCUGCGACGGGGAGCUGCUCCUGUUGGUGCUGCUGAACAGAGGAGGAACUGCAGCUGCUGCUGCCUUGUGCUGUUCCUGGAAGUUGCCGAGCUACUGCUGCUUGUGUGGCUGCUUCUUGCUGCUGCGGCAGAGAAAGAAAGAGGUGCAGCGUGCUGAACAGUAAGAACCUGGGCUGGACUGCUUUACAGAGUAGUUUUUUCUAUGGACUUGCUGUUGUGAGCUUGGUGUUGUGGUGGUGGUUAUUACUGUUACAUGUUACAUGUAGAGAUGCUUCAUGAUUUAGUCCCUAGCUGCUUUCUAUAUUUGUUUUUAUUUUGUUUCUAACACUUUUUUUUAUUGUUAGAUGCCUUCGUUUAGCCUGUACAAACAUAUCUAGAAAUGGUGUUUCCUCUCAUUUAUGAAGCUCCAGCCUGAAAGUGAAGAAGUUAGGAGUAUAGUUGUAGUAGCCUGAAAGUGAAGAAGUUAGGAAUAUAGUUGUUAUAUGUUGUGAUAGUAUCACAUGUAAUGGUGAGAUGAAUUAUGUAAAGAUUGUGCUAUCAGCCAAAUUUUCAUGUGGUUUGAUAAUUUUUA